UACGUAGGGUGCAAGCGUUAAUCGGAAUUACUGGGCGUAAGCGUGCGCAGGCGGUUUUGUAAGUCUGUCGUGAAAUCCCCCGGGCUCAACCUGGGAAUUGCGAUGGAGACUGCAAGGCUAGAAUCUGGCAGAGGGGGGUAGAAUUCCACGUGUAGCAGUGAAAUGCGUAGAGAUCGUGGAGGAACACCGAUGGCGAAGGCAGCCCCCUGGGUCAAGAUUGACGCUCAUGCACGAA
rnacentral:rRNA from 1 species